rnacentral:rRNA from 1 species
CACGUAGGGCGCGAGCGUUGUCCGGAAUUAUUGGGCGUAAAGAGCUCGUAGGCGGCCUGUUGCGUCCGCUGUGAAAGCCCGGGGCUUAACCCCGGGUCGGCAGUGGAUACGGGCAGGCUAGAGGUAGGUAGGGGAGAAUGGAAUUCCCGGUGUAGCGGUGAAAUGCGCAGAUAUCGGGAGGAACACCUGUGGCGAAAGCGGCUCACUGGACCACAACUGACGCUGAUGCACGAAAGCUAGGGGAGCAAACAGG